rnacentral:miRNA from 2 species
UGGAUAUGAUGACUGAAA